AGUUUUGGAUGAAUCAAAGUUUGGUUUAUAAGUGUACGUGUUUUUGUUUAAAAGUACAGAAAUGAAGACAACACUGGAAAAUACGCUGGACACAUGCUGGAAAUUUGCUUCUCAGCACAGCCAUGGACAAAUAGUACUGCAUCUACUUUGUUGGGACUUUUAGAAGAUGUAUGGGUGCUCCUUUAGUGAACCAAAAAGCAGUACAAAUUUGUCGCUGAUGUAAUUUCUCACAGACUUGCAAUACUGUGCAUUUUAAGCACAAAGCCUUUUUAAAAUUUUUGUUUAAACUUUUGACAGGGACAAUAAUUGGUCCAGAAAACUGAGCUGUUGACGUGGAGAAGCUCAAGCCAAAUACAAAUAUAUGUCUCUGGCUAGAUGAUGCAGCUUUAAAAUCAAAAGGAUUUAUUUAUGAAAAAUGUCAUUUUCUGGAUCAUGAUGUAUUUAAAUUCCAGUUUUUGAUGUUCACAUUUCUGUGCUUAUCCUCCCACUAUUUUAAAAUACAUGCUCACCUUCCUCAGGUUUCUUAAAUGUAAUUCAUCUUAUAGAAGAAGCACACCAUAGAAAAUUUUUGCCUCAGAGGCAUACAUUUAGAGAAAUAACACACUAAGCAUAAGAAGUUUCCUUAAAGCUUAUAGGUAAGUGGAAAUAAUUUAAAAAUCGUGAUGAUAAUGAUAGACCACUAGUGUGCACAGCACUGAUAAUUUGUAGAUUUGAAUUAUUACUGUACAUUUUGUAGGUUUGCCAACUUUUUCUACUGUUGAUUGCAUUCCAGUGCAAGUACUCAUAUCUGAGGAGGCUAUGAUCUGUAUACCUGUGCUAUUGCUAGUAUGUUUUCCAUGCUGGGUUCAAUUUAUUAAUGCGGUCUUAUUCAUUUAUUAUCUAUAAAAUUGCUGUUAGAUAAAACAUAUUACAGAUAAUUGUCAUAGGCAGUGCUCUUCAACGUCACUGUAAGUAGUUUUAACUUUCUGAAAAAAAAAGAACUAGUUUCCACAAGAACAUGGGUGCAUGUCACCACCAAAAACAAAGACAGAUGUGGUUGGUACAUGUUUUGUUUGAGGAUAGGCAUGUGUGAGAAAAAAGAUGUAAAAUGCCAUAGAAACAGAUGAAAAGAAUACACAGAAACCCAUACAGGCCUGAGCAAUCACUGGGAAUGUAGCUGUAAGAAAAGCAGAGCAAGAGAGAUUCAAGAUGACUAUCAGCCAAAAAGGAGUUGAGACUGAGUGAAACAUUCACACAGUUUCAGAGGAAAAGAAUGUACACACAAUCUUUAUAGAGUGCAUCAAAACAUCUGAUGCCAUCUAUUUUCUCUGACCAGAGACACUGCACUAA